GGGCCCGCACAAGCGGAGGAACAUGUGGUUUAAUUCGAUGGUACGCGAGGAACCUUACCUGGGCUUAAAUGAGAGGCGCCUUCGGGCGUAGUCUGUAGAAAUAUAGCUUAAACUUUCAAGGUGCUGCAUGGUUGUCGUCAGCUCGUGCCGUGAGGUGUCGGGUUAAGUCCCAUAACGAGCGCAACCCUCAUUCUUAGUUGCCAUCGGGUCAAGCCGGGCACUCUAAGGAAACUGCCAUCGUAAGAUGUGAGGAAGGUGGGGAUGACGUCAAAUCAGCACGGCCCUUAUGUCCAGGGCUACACACGUGUUACAAUGGGCGGUACAACAGGUUGCGACCUAGCGAUAGGUAGCUAAUCCCUAAAACCGCCCCCAGUUCGGAUUGGAGUCUGGAAUUCGACUCCAUGAAGCAGGAUUCGCUAGUAACCGCGCAUCAGCAAUGGCGCGAUGAAUACGUUCCCGGGCCUU
rnacentral:rRNA from 1 species